rnacentral:lncRNA from 1 species
AGAGACACAGACCCAGGCAUGAGCGGAAAUCUACACAAGACAGAACUUUAUUAAUGGAAGGCUUCUUGACACUCGGCGUUGGCACACCACUGAGCGGCUACGCACACCAGCAUCACAGCUACGGCUGCAGCGGGACCAGUUACCUACAACCCAACUGUGGUGAUGGAGGUCUGAGCACUGUGUAGGGCAGGCCAGAACCAGAAAGCCUUCUGAUUUGACUACCCCAGUCUUCCCAAACUGACACUGGGCAGGCAGGAGACCCCAUUCAUAGAUCACCACUACCCUAUGUCCAGAUUUCAGAUAGGAGGUGGGGAUCUAAAGAGAACCCAUGUUUUGAGCUACUAGCUUGACCAUAGAGCAUAAUCACUCGGACUGUAGAACAAUCAAUUUUGUCUUAAUUGUUUUUUUGGCGCAUGUGUGUGUGUGUAAACAUGUGUGACCUUGAGUGUCUCCCUGUACUUAGGUUUAUCUAUGUGUUUAACUGUGUGUAUGUCUAUGUGAAUAUGUGCACACAUGUAUAUGUUGGUACCUGUGAGGGCACAGAAGUGCCCUUGGAGCUGGAGUAACAGUCACUUGUGAUCUACCAGACACUGGGCUCUGAGCUCCUUAUAAUUAAAAAGCUAGUACUCUU